rnacentral:rRNA from 1 species
AACGAACGCUGGCGGCAGGCUUAACACAUGCAAGUCGAACGCGUGUAGCAAUACACGAGUGGCGCACGGGUGAGUAACGCGUGGAUAUCUGCCUUUUGGUUCGGAAUAACUCCGGGAAACUGGAGCUAAUACCGGAUGGUUCCUACGGGAUAAAGAUUUAUCGCCAAAAGAUGAGUCCGCGUACGAUUAGCUAGUUGGUGAGGUAAUGGCUCACCAAGGCGACGAUCGUUAGCUGGUCUGAGAGGACGAUCAGCCACACUGGGACUGAGACACGGCCCAGACUCCUACGGGAGGCAGCAGUGGGGAAUAUUGGACAAUGGGGGCAACCCUGAUCCAGCCAUGCCGCGUGAGUGAUGAAGGCCUUCGGGUUGUUAAAGCUCUUUUGGCGGGGACGAUGAUGACGGUACCCGCAGGAAUAAGCCCCGGCUAACUUCGUGCCAGCAGCCGCGGUAAU